GGCGCUAGCUAAACUCCUAUGUUAGGCUCGACAUUACAUUUGUAACAAUGCUUUUUUCUAAUAAAAAGUAUUUCAUUGCAUCCGCGGUGGAGCCCAGUUUCAUAAUAUAUCCCAGCUGCCUGUCGUGGUUUAAGUAAUCACGAAAAAGCAGGCAUUAUUUUAGGGCAUUUAACACCCUGCCAGCUCCUAUUAGUUCUAUUGAGCACUGUGGCACCAACUCGCCUUUCGAACGUUCUUAAUCCCAUUUUGUUGUACUAUGUCACAAUGGCAGCUUCGCUAUAGUUUGCAAUGGAGACCAGCUCACGUCUAGUUAAAAUGUAAACAAACUACUCAUGUUACUGAGGUCGUCCCAUUGUUUACUAUAGGGAAAUAUAGGUAUGUCUGUCUAUUUUGCCAAAUAUCUCGCAAUGUGUAUAUUUAGAUUUUUGUUAAAUAGGACACCAUUUUAAUCAUGAGAAUCUCUGUCUAAUUAUGUAAGGCUGGGCAGUGUAUCUCGUCAUCAAACGCUAGCCCCAAAAUACAUUUUGCCCUUGGAACGCUGAGGGAGCCCCAUUGUUUUCCUAUGGAGAAGCAUGCUGGUAUAUUUAGCCAAGUAUCUCGCAAUGUGUAUAUUUUAUUUUGAUUUUUUGUCAUUUCGGACACCAUGUUAAUCAUGAAUAUCUUUCUAAUUAUGUAAGGCUGGGCAUCUCGUCAUCAAACGCUAGACCAGAAAGUCAGAAGUUUACAUUUUUUCCCUACUUCCUCGUUAUGCAGACAUAAGCACAAUUGGCUCCAUUGAGGUGCGGAUGUUUUUUUUUUUUUGUUUUUUUACCUUUAUUUAACUAGGCAAGUCAGUUAAGAACAAAUUCUUAUUUUCAAUGACGGCCUAGGAACAGUGGGUUAACUGCCUGUUCAGGGACAGAACGACAGAUUUGUACCUUGUCAGCUCGGGGAUUUGAACUUGCAACCUUCCGGUUACUAGUCCAACGCUCUAACCACUAGGCUACGCUGCCGCCCCGUUUACUGUUUACUUUCUACAAUUUUUCAGUUUCGUCCUAAGAACAGAUUGUAGUGGUAAAAUAAAAAGGGAUACCUUUCUUUUGUGCCAUUUGGGCUAAAUGGGAAUCUAAGCUUCACUCCAGUCAAAACAGGCUCUGCGAACGUUCGAUUCCAUUCAUUUGAUAUGGGCUAGUGUUUUAGCGUAGCCAACGUUCUAAAGCCAUUUUUCAGCCUUGGGUGAAUUUUGACUCGUUCUAUUGUCCAGCUUACCUAUGUGGAUGCCUCCAUCUAGUUCCCAAGAGCAGCAGACCGAUCUGCCACCCCCAGUAGUUCAGCUGUAGUCACAGCAGUCCCCUGCUGUGGUAUUUAAUUUACCGGCUUCACCAGUUCCUACUUCACUGGCCUUGAAGGGAGAAACUUUUGACGAUUCCCAAAUGGAUACAGAUCUGCAUUGCUAUCCACCACUGCCUGACAGCCACACCCAGAAGUGCAUACACUGGGCCUAUCAAGACUGACAAAGCAGAGAUGGGUGGGUGACAAGGAAACUUAAAACACAACAUGCACACACACCCCCUCUCUCUCUCUCUGUCACACACACAUUAUCCCCAAUGUAAAUACAUUGUAGUUACUUGUUUAUUUUAUGUAUGCUUCAUUUUAUUUGAGGAAAAUGUCUGCAAUAAAGUUUGUUCACAGUUAAA